rnacentral:rRNA from 1 species
AUUGAACGCUGGCGGCAGGCCUAACACAUGCAAGUCGAGCGGAUGAAGGGAGCUUGCUCCUGGAUUCAGCGGCGGACGGGUGAGUAAUGCCUAGGAAUCUGCCAGGUAGUGGGUGAUAACGUCCGGAAACGGGCGCUAAUACCGCAUACGUCCUGAGGGAGAAAGUGGGGGAUCUUCGGACCUCACGCUAUCAGAUGAGCCUAGGUCGGAUUAGCUAGUUGGUGGGGUAAAGGCCUACCAAGGCGACGAUCCGUAACUGGUCUGAGAGGAUGAUCAGUCACACUGGAACUGAGACACGGUCCAGACUCCUACGGGAGGCAGCAGUGGGGAAUAUUGGACAAUGGGCGAAAGCCUGAUCCAGCCAUGCCGCGUGUGUGAAGAAGGUCUUCGGAUUGUAAAGCACUUUAAGUUGGGAGGAAGGGCAGUAAGUUAAUACCUUGCUGUUUUGACGUUACCAACAGAAUAAGCACCGGCUAACUUCGUG